AGGAGUGGAGCUUGCGGCUUAAUUUGACUCAACACGGGGAAUCUCACCAGGCCCGGACACCGGAAGGAUUGACAGAUUGAGAGCUCUUUCUUGAUUCGGUGGGUGGUGGUGCAUGGUCGUUCUUAGUUGGUGGGUCGACUUGUCUGCUUAAUUGCGAUAACGAACGAGACUCUAGCCUGCUAAAUAGGCGUACUUACCGGUAUCUCGAAGGCGCACAUCUUUCGUAUCAACCGGGCGUUGUUCGUUGAUGUUUCAAGCGGCGUUCGCGUCGUGUUGGACAUUUUUCGGCAUCGUGCGGGCGGAAGUUUGUGGUUUUUACUACCGGCGUACAUUUUAAUCUUCUUAGAGGGACAAACGGCUUCGAGUCGUAUGAGAAUGAGCAAUAACAGGUCUGUGAUGCCCUUAGAUGUUCUGGGCCG
rnacentral:rRNA from 2 species